rnacentral:rRNA from 1 species
UACGGAGGGGGCUAGCGUUGUUCGGAAUUACUGGGCGUAAAGCGCACGUAGGCGGACUGUUAAGUCGGGGGUGAAAUCCUGGGGCUCAACCUCAGAAUUGCCUCCGAUACUGGCAGUCUCGAGUGCGGGAGAGGUGAGUGGAAUUCCCAGUGUAGAGGUGAAAUUCGUAGAUAUUGGAAGAACACCAGUGGCGAAGGCGGCUCACUGGCCCGUAACUGACGCUGAGGUGCGAAAGCGUGGGGAGCAAACAGG